UGGGGAAUAUUGGACAAUGGGGGGAACCCUGAUCCAGCCAUGCCGCGUGUGUGAAGAAGGCCUUAUGGUUGUAAAGCACUUUAAGCGAGGAGGAGGGUACUGGUAUUAAUACUACCAGGUACUGGACGUUACUCGCAGAAUAAGCACCGGCUAACUCUGUGCCAGCAGCCGCGGUAAUACAGAGGGUGCGAGCGUUAAUCGGAUUUACUGGGCGUAAAGCGUGCGUAAGCGGCUACUUGAGUCGGAUGUGAAAUCCCCGAGCUUAACUUGGGAAUUGCAUUCGAUACUGGUUAGCUAGAGUGUGGGAGAGGAUGGUAGAAUUCCAGGUGUAGCGGUGAAAUGCGUAGAGAUCUGGAGGAAUACCGAUGGCGAAGGCAGCCAUCUGGCCUAACACUGACGCUUAGGUACGAAAGCAUGGGGAGCAAACAGG
rnacentral:rRNA from 1 species